rnacentral:rRNA from 1 species
UACGUAGGGUGCGAGCGUUAAUCGGAAUUACUGGGCGUAAAGCGUGCGCAGGCGGUUCGCAAAGUCUGAUGUGAAAGCCCCGGGCUCAACCUGGGAACUGCAUUGGAAACUAACGGGCUCGAGUGUGGCAGAGGGGGGGUGGAAUUCCACGUGUAGCAGUGAAAUGCGUAGAGAUGUGGAGGAACACCGAUGGCGAAGGCAGCCCCCUGGGCUAACACUGACGCCUCAGGCACGAAAGCGUGGGGAGCAAACAGG